GUUAUACCAAUUUGGAGGCAACCUUCAAUGCUUUCAAAAAUUUUAAGCUUCCCUCCUACUACCUAAAGAAAUCUAAUUCCCUCCUUCCAAAAAGAAUUAAUCUCCUUCCUCCCACCUUCUUUUAACCUAAAACGGUUGUCCUCCCUCCUGUGACCCUUACACUCACCUAGAAAACAACUCACCCUCCCUUUAAAUCACCGUCACGAUUCUACCAUUGACCAUCGCAUACCUCCAAUAGGCCUGCGGGGUGCGAAACCCAUCUUGUAUUCUUAUAGCAGUUGUUUGUAGCCGUUCACACCAACAAUCGGCUCCCCCGGAUUACCUAGACUACAAUCACUGAUGUCACAUCCCAAUUGACCUCUCUUGUAGGUGUGUAAAUGAGAAAGGUUUGAAGAUGCAUACCAGUUGCUCGAUGAAACGCAUCAACCAAAAAAACUUCCGUUUCACAUGUUUUACUAGAUGAAUGAUUAUCUGGCAAUUAUUUUUGGAUGAAACUUGUGUUUUGCAGAUUCUUUUAUGCAGCCUUAGAAGUAGAAGUUGAAUGAAACAAUGCGUUCAGGGCAUAUGUCGCCAUGUCGGGGCAUUCACUGCUUCGGUAAAGGUUAGGAACACCUACACCUAAAAAAGUGGAAUUCUUAUAUCUCAAGGUUUGAGUGAUUCACGUCAGUCGUAUACAACUACUAAAAGGCAUGGGCACCAGGUGCAACAAAGUUUCAGAAGAAGAAGAAAACUGGUAGAAAACAAGGAAAGCAUGACUCAAGUGUCGAUGUGAACCAUGAUAGAGUCCCAUCACCACGGGUGGACACGAGUCUUGGUGGACCGUUUAUCGACUAUCCACUUAUCGAGAACCUGACCAAAUGUGAGUUGCUGUCUCCCUAGCACGCUCGCGAGGAAGUGACGGUGGCUAAAGGUAUGGCAUGGCCAACCCCUCCAAAUAUGAUUAUGAAUGAGAGUUGUAUCAAAAUUCAGGUUUAUUCUGUUGUUGGUGAACAUUCGGGACUGUGUGUCCCAGAUGAAACACGCACUGAAGUUUUCAUUCGGGUCAAUUCACCUGACGGGAUGUAUCCCUGGUCGGUUUAUGAGAACAUCUUGUAUUCCGAAUUGUUAAACAUGCUCUUGGAUGGUUGGCUUGAUGUCACAAUAUUACAUUGGUUUUGCCAUGUAAGUUGCUAUUAUUUUUAUUAUAUGGUACCAUAAUAUGCUUAGAUAGAAUUGAAUUUACUAACUUUGUCACAUUUUUUAGGCAUUUCUUUGAGUCGCCCAAUUCUAGGUUUGCUUUUUUCAAUCCACAAAAAAUCACUGGAUCACGAUGUAAAACACUUCUUGAAGACGUUAAAAAAAACAUAAAAGAAAUACGUGAGCUUCAUUCUAAAAAAAUGUUCUAUCUUGCACCAUACUUAGUUGGUAAACAUUGGUCGCUUAUAAUUGUUUGACCGGACUUCAAAUUCAGCUAUAUUGUUGAUUCUAUAAAUGAUGGGAAGACCCUUAAAAAUUACAAGCUCGUCAAGAUCAUUGAAGAAGUUUUGAGAUUAAUUUUAAUUGGCACAUGGUACAGUGCAAACAACAGAAAGGCAGUUGGGAAUGUGGGUAUAUGGUAAUCAAACAUAUGAAAGAGUUUAUCGACUCUAUACAACAUGAUUUGGUUAACCGACUUUGGAAUGAAGAAGGGUAUUUUGAAGAAUCUCAAAUUGAGAAUUUAGUGGUAGAUUUAAUGUUCGGAUUUAUUGAAAAAGAUGUUUUGAUCUUGUAAGCAUUAGUUUGUGUUUCAUACUUUUGUAAUUCCGUAUACUUGAACGGGUUGUUUAAUACUAGUUAACUUUUGUCGUGAGCA